CAGUGGGGAAUAUUGGACAAUGGGCGCAAGCCUGAUCCAGCAAUGCCGCGUGUGUGAAGAAGGCCUUCGGGUUGUAAAGCACUUUUAUCGGGAGCGAAAUACCAUUGGCUAAUAACCGGUGGGGCUGACGGUACCCGAGGAAUAAGCACCGGCUAACUUCGUGCCAGCAGCCGCGGUAAUACGAAGGGUGCAAGCGUUAAUCGGAAUUACUGGGCGUAAAGGGUGCGUAGGCGGUUUGUUAAGUCUGUCGUGAAAUCCCCGGGCUCAACCUGGGAAUGGCGAUGGAAACUGGCAGGCUAGAGUGUGUCAGAGGAUGGUGGAAUUCCCGGUGUAGCGGUGAAAUGCGUAGAGAUCGGGAGGAACACCAGUGGCGAAGGCGGCCAUCUGGGACAACACUGACGCUGAAGCACGAAAGCGUGGGGAGCAAACAGGAUUAGAUACCCUGGUAGUCCACGCCCUAAACGAUGCGAACUGGAUGUUGGUCUCAACUCGGAGAUCAGUGUCGAAGCUAACGCGUUAAGUCGCCGCCUGGGAGUAGUGCAAGGGG
rnacentral:rRNA from 1 species